AGUGAACGCUGGCGGUAGGCCUAACACAUGCAAGUCGAACGGCAGCACAGUAAGAGCUUGCUCUUACGGGUGGCGAGUGGCGGACGGGUGAGGAAUACAUCGGAAUCUACUUUUUCGUGGGGGAUAACGUAGGGAACCUUACGCUAAUACCGCAUACGACCUACGGGUGAAAGCAGGGGAUCUUCGGACCUUGCGCGAUUGAAUGAGCCGAUGUCGGAUUAGCUAGUUGGCGGGGUAAAGGCCCACCAUGGCGACGAUCCGUAGCUGGUCUGAGAGGAUGAUCAGCCACACUGGAAGUGAGAGACGGUCCAGACUCCGACGGGAGGCAGCAGUGGGGAAUAUUGGACAAUGGGCGCAAGCCUGAUCCAGCCAUACCGCGUGGGUGAAGAAGGCCUUCGGGUUGUAAAGCCCUUUUGUUGGGAAAGAAAAGCAGCAGGUUAAUACCCCGCUGUUCUGACGGUACCCAAAGAAUAAGCACCGGCUAACUUCGUG
rnacentral:rRNA from 1 species